AACGAACGCUGGCGGCAUGCCUAACACAUGCAAGUCGAACGAGACCUUCGGGUCUAGUGGCGAACGGGUGCGUAACGCGUGGGAACCUGCCCUUAGGUUCGGAAUAACUCCCCGAAAGGGGUGCUAAUACCGGAUAAUGUCUUCGGACCAAAGAUUUAUCGCCUUUGGAUGGGCCCGCGUUGGAUUAGCUAGUUGGUAGGGUAAAAGCCUACCAAGGCGACGAUCCAUAGCUGGUCUGAGAGGAUGAUCAGCCACACUGGGACUGAGACACGGCCCAGACUCCUACGGGAGGCAGCAGUGGGGAAUAUUGGACAAUGGGCGAAAUCCUGAUCCAGCAAUGCCGCGUGAGUGAUGAAGGCCGUAGGGUUGUAAAGCUCUUUUACCCGGGAUGAUAAUGACAGUACCGGGAGAAUAAGCUCCGGCUAACUCCGUG
rnacentral:rRNA from 1 species